AUUGAACGCUGGCGGCAGGCCUAACACAUGCAAGUCGAGCGAGCGGCGGACGGGUGAGUAAUGUAUGGGGAACUGCCCGAUUGAGGGGGAUAACUACUGGAAACGGUGCCUAAUACCGCAUACCAUCGGAUGAACCCAUAGGGGAUUUGCUAGUAGGUGGGGUAAAGGCUCACCUAGGCGACGAUCUCUAGCUGGUCUGCGAGGAUGACCAGCCACACUGGGACUGAGACACGGCCCAUACUCCUACGGGAGGCAGCAGUGGGGAAUAUUGCACAAUGGGCGCAAGCCUGAUGCAGCCAUGCCGCGUGUAUGAAGAAGGCCUUAGGGUUGUAAAGUACUUUCAGCGGGGAGGCGUUACCCGCAGAAGAAGCACCGGCUAACUCCGUGCCAGCAGCCGCGGUAAUUC
rnacentral:rRNA from 1 species